UACGAGGGGAGCUAGCGUUGUUCGGAAUUACUGGGCGUAAAGGGCGUGUAGGCGGUAUCAUAAGUCAGAUGUGAAAGCCCUAGGCUUAACCUAGGAGGUGCAUUUGAUACUGUGAAACUAGAGAUCGAGAGAGGAAAGUGGAAUUACGAGUGUAGAGGUGAAAUUCGUAGAUAUUCGUAAGAACACCGAUGGCGAAGGCAGCUUUCUGGCUCGAUACUGACGCUAAGUCGCGAAAGCGUGGGGAGCAAACAGGAUUAGAUACCCGGGUAGU
rnacentral:rRNA from 1 species